GCAUAUCAAUAAGCGGAGGAAAAAGAAACUAACAAGGAUUCCCCUAGUAACGGCGAGUGAAGCGGGAAAAGCUCAAAUUUGUAAUCUGGCGCCUUCGGCGUCCGAGUUGUAAUCUCGAGAAGUAUUUUCCGCACUGGACCGCACAUAAGUCUGUUGGAAUACAGCGUCAUAGUGGUGAGAACCCCGUAUACGGUGCGGAUGCCCAGUGCUUUGUGAUAUACUUUCGAAGAGUCGAGUUGUUUGGGAAUGCAGCUCAAAUUGGGUGGUAAAUUCCAUCUAAAGCUAAAUAUUGGCGAGAGACCGAUAGCGAACAAGUACCGUGAGGGAAAGAUGAAAAGCACUUUGGAAAGAGAGUUAACAGUACGUGAAAUUGUUGGAAGGGAAACGCUUGAAGUCAGACUUGCAUUUUGGAGUUCAGCCGCAAGGUGUAUUCUUCAAUUCGCAGGCCAGCAUCAGUUUUCGGGGGUGGAAAAUCGCGGUUUGAAGGUAGCAGUUUCGGCUGUGUUAUAGCUUUCCGCUGGAUUCACUUUUGGGGACUGAGGAACGCAGUACGCUUUUUGCAAGACUUUCGAGUCUUUCGUACUUAGGAUGCUGGUGGAAUGGCUUUAAACGACCCGUCUUGAAACACGGACCAAGGAGUCUAACAUGCUUGCGAGUGUUUGGGUGUUAAACCCGGACGCGUAAUGAAAGUGAAUGUAGGUGGGAUCCGCAAGGUGCACCAUCGACCGAUCUGGAUUUUCUAAGAUGGAUUUGAGUAAGAGCAAUUAUGUUGGGACCCGAAAGAUGGUGAACUAUGCCUGAAUAGGGUGAAGCCAGAGGAAACUCUGGUGGAGGCUCGUAGCGGUUCUGACGUGCAAAUCGAUCGUCAAAUUUGGGUAUAGGGGCGAAAGACUAAUCGAACCAUCUAGUAGCUGGUUCCUGCCGAA
rnacentral:rRNA from 1 species